GAUGAACGCUGGCGGCGUGCCUAAUACAUGCAAGUCGAGCGAACAGACGAGGAGCUUGCUCCUCUGACGUUAGCGGCGGACGGGUGAGUAACACGUGGAUAACCUACCUAUAAGACUGGGAUAACUUCGGGAAACCGGAGCUAAUACCGGAUAAUAUAUUGAACCGCAUGGUUCAAUAGUGAAAGACGGUUUUGCUGUCACUUAUAGAUGGAUCCGCGCCGCAUUAGCUAGUUGGUAAGGUAACGGCUUACCAAGGCAACGAUGCGUAGCCGACCUGAGAGGGUGAGCGGCCACAAUGGAACUGAGACACGGUCCAGACGACUACGGGAGGCAGCAGUAGGGAAUCUUCCGCAAUGGGCGAAAGCCUGACGGAGCAACGCCGCGUGAGUGAUGAAGGUCUUCGGAUCGUAAAACUCUGUUAUUAGGGAAGAACAAAUGUGUAAGUAAAUAGGCACGUCUUGACGGUACCUAAUCAGAAAGCAACGGCUAACUACGUG
rnacentral:rRNA from 1 species